GUCCUUGUUGCGCCAUGGAUAGCGCGUUGAAUUUCUAACUCGAAGGUCGUGGGUUUGAAUUCCACCUGGGAUG